ensembl:ncRNA C32C4.14 ncRNA
UUUUGUAUCUAGGUACAAUUAAGGGACGUCUUCGUUUUUUCUUCUUUUUCAUCUUCUCGCCAGCGGCAAAUUGCUUGUGUAUU